rnacentral:rRNA from 1 species
UACGAAGGGGGCUAGCGUUACUCGGAAUCACUGGGCAUAAAGGGCGUGUAGGCGGGCUUUCAAGUCGGUUGUGAAAUCCCUCAGCUCAACUGAGGAACUGCAUCCGAUACUGUUUGUCUUGAGGACGAGAGGGGAGAGUGGAACUUCUGGUGGAGCGGUGAAAUGCGUAGAUAUCAGAAGGAACGCCGGUGGCGAAAGCGCUCUGCUAGGCCGCAACUGACACUGAGGGACGAAAGCUAGGGGAGCGAAUGGG